UUCCUUAGGCGAGCCAGCUG
rnacentral:siRNA from 1 species